UACGGAGGGUGCAAGCGUUGUCCGGAAUCAUUGGGUGUAAAGGGUGCGCAGGCGGAAGUCUAAGUCGGAGGUGAAAGUUUGCCGCUUAACGGUAAAAGCGCCUUCGAAACUGGAUUUCCUGAGUUCGGAAGAGGUCGGUGGAAUUCGUGGUGUAGCGGUGAAAUGCAUAGAUAUCACGAAGAACACCAGUGGCGAAGGCGGCCGACUGGUCCGAUACUGACGCUGAGGCACGAGAGCGUGGGGAGCGAACAGG
rnacentral:rRNA from 1 species